UGCCCUUUAGUACGGCGAGUGAAGCGGCAAAAGCUCAAAUUUGAAAUCUGGUACCUUCGGUGCCCGAGUUGUAAUUUGGAGAGGGCAACUUUGGGGCCGUUCCUUGUCUAUGUUCCUUGGAACAGGACGUCAUAGAGGGUGAGAAUCCCGUGUGGCGAGGAGUGCGGUUCUUUGUAAAGUGCCUUCGAAGAGUCGAGUUGUUUGGGAAUGCAGCUCUAAGUGGGUGGUAAAUUCCAUCUAAAGCUAAAUAUUGGCGAGAGACCGAUAGCGAACAAGUACAGUGAUGGAAAGAUGAAAAGAACUUUGAAAAGAGAGUGAAAAAGUACGUGAAAUUGUUGAAAGGGAAGGGCAUUUGAUCAGACAUGGUGUUUUGUGCCCUCUGCUCCUUGUGGGUAGGGGAAUCUCGCAUUUCACUGGGCCAGCAUCAGUUUUGGUGGCAGGAUAAAUCCAUAGGAAUGUAGCUUGCCUCGGUAAGUAUUAUAGCCUGUGGGAAUACUGCCAGCUGGGACUGAGGACUGCGACGUAAGUCAAGGAUGCUGGCAUAAUGGUUAUAUGCCGCCCGUCUUGAACACACGGAAACA
rnacentral:rRNA from 1 species